rnacentral:rRNA from 1 species
UACGUAGGCAGCGAGCGUUGUUCGGAGUUACUGGGCGUAAAGCGUGCGCAGGCGGCUUCUCAAGUCAGGGGUGAAAGCCCAGAGCUCAACUCUGGAAUUGGCUUUGAGACUGAGUGGCUUGAGUACGAGAGAGGUGAGUGGAAUUCCCAGUGUAGAGGUGAAAUUCGUAGAUAUUGGGAAGAACACCGGUGGCGAAGGCGGAUCUCUGGGCCUUACCUGACGCUCAGGCGCGAAAGCUAGGGGAGCGAACAGG